AGCACUGUAUGGUAUCUGCAGCUAGCUGAAUCCAGGCUGGACUGUUCAUAACACAGUGCGACAGCAAACUGAGCAUGUGGCAUCGUUGGUCUUCAUGCUCCUUUGUGCUUGGAGUCCUGGUAUUUGUGCUUAAACAUGA
ensembl:snoRNA small nucleolar RNA SNORA8